rfam:Myotis brandtii contig272810, whole genome shotgun sequence.
GCUGGUAUAGCUCAGUGGUUGAGCAUCUACCUAUGAACCAGAAGAUCACAGUUCAAUUCUGGGUCAGGGCA